AUCUUUGCAUUCUGAAGAAUAUCCUCAGCAUGAUGUUGAUAUGCUUUCUAUAAAGAUUAUAAGAAGCUUUGGCUUGAAAUUUUUUUAUUUGUGUGUUUUUUUUUGUUUUAUUUUUAUUUUUUGGUUUUAUAUUACCAUUUUUAUUUUCUUGAGUAUCAGUUUUCUGUCUUUCAAAGUUUAGCAAAAUGUUUUUAUGAAGCAGAUUUAUGAGUUUAGCAAAAGGGUUUAUAAUUGUUCCUCUGUUUUAGUUUUGAGUUACCAGGUUGGGAAAUAUUUGGAGCAAAGAUUUUUUUUUUUAAUUAUUAUUUGUUUUUUUUAAUUAUCAUUUUCAAUAAAUUUUCUUGUCCAAGUGGGUUUAUUUGAAUUUUUAAAAUUUUGUAUUAUUUUUUCUUUUAUUGUUUAAUAUAUAUUCCCCCCUCUUCCCUUUACUUUUAUUUUUCAUAUAAACCCUCUUCAAAAUGCUACUAUUGUGUUUUAUGACAAACAUAAGUUGUAGGAUUAUGAUACUCUCAUGUUAUGAUGUUAUAUGUUCAUGAGAUAAAAUUCCACUCAAACAAAA